GGAGGGAAAAUACUAGUGGGUGUGUAGAUGUGUCAAAAUAUUGACGAAUGCGUAGGCCGCAGGGUGCUGCCUACAGGGUGCUGGGACAAACAGUCAGGCUAAUCCACCAGUCAGCCGAGAAGGGAAGAAGGGAGCACAACUUUCUGCAGAGGUCACGGGUAAAGUUCAGAUGUGCGUCAGGGGACGGAGGAUCGAGCCUCGUCCAGUACUACCAGACUCUGAAUGAAGAGUGCGAGAUGAUCACUUUUCGGGAAUAGAUGUGUGGUUGAGAUACGAGAGGGAGAAAGGAUGCUGAAAUGUUUGCUGGGAUCAGAAACUGAGAAGUGGCGCUGCUGAGAUGUGAUGCUGAGAGAGCAUGCUACGAGGUGAUGCUGAGAUGUGCUGAGACGCGAUGCGAAGAUUUGCUGGGAUGUGAUGGUGAGAUGUGAUGCUGGCUGCUGAUCUCGUCUCCAGCGUCUACACCCACUCCAACAGCAUAAGGCACAGAGAAGCUUCUGGGAGGAAGACUGGUUGUUAAUGUUGAAGAAUGUAAGGGUGGUGUUGUGACCCCCUUGUGGUGGUGACCCCGUGUAACACCUUGCGGUGGUGACCCCGUGUAACACAUUGCGGUGGUGACCCCGUGUAACACCUUGUGGUGGUGACCCCGUGUAACACCUUCUGGUGGUGACCCCGUGUAACGCCUUCUGGUGGUGACCCUGUGUAACCCCUUGUAGAGGUGACACCGUGUAAACCCUUGUGGUGGUGACCCCGUGUAACACCUUGCGGUGGUGACCCCGUGUAACACAUUGCGGUGGUGACCCCUGUAACACCUUGUG